UGGAGCAUGUGGUUUAAUUCGAAGCAACGCGAAGAACCUUACCAGGUCUUGACAUCCCGAUGCUAUUUCUAGAGAUAGAAAGUUACUUCGGUACAUCGGUGACAGGUGGUGCAUGGUUGUCGUCAGCUCGUGUCGUGAGAUGUUGGGUUAAGUCCCGCAACGAGCGCAACCCCUAUUGUUAGUUGCCAUCAUUAAGUUGGGCACUCUAAAGAGACUGCCGAUGACAAAUCGGAGGAAGGUGGGGAUGACGUCAAAUCAUCAUGCCCUUUAUGUCCUGGGCUACACACGUGCUACAAUGGUCGGUACAACGAGAAGCAAGUCAGCGAUGGCAAGCAAAUCUCUAAAAGCCGAUCCCAGUUCGGAUUGCAGGCUGCAACUCGCCUGCAUGAAGUCGGAGUUGCUAGUAAUCGCGGAUCAGAAUGCCGCGGUGAAUGCGUUCCCGGGUCCU
rnacentral:rRNA from 1 species